rnacentral:rRNA from 1 species
UAAGCAUAUCACUAAGCGGAGGAAAAGAAACUAACUAGGAUUCCCCCAGUAACUGCGAGUGAAGAGGGAAGAGCUCAUCAUUGGAAUCUGGCAGCGUCUCGCUGUCCGAGUUGUAGAUGAGAAGAGUGGGCCAUCUGGACUGCAUGGUGUCCAAGUACAAUAGGCCGUCRGUGGGACAUCAUAGAGGGUGACAAUCCCGUCCUUGACACCAAUGUACGAGUCCUUUUACGAUGCCUAUCUCGGAGAGUCGAGCAGUUUGGGAUUUGCUGCUUAAACAUGGGAGGUAGAUUCCUUCCAAAGCUAAAUACAGGCAAGAGACCGAUAGAGAACAAGUACCGCAAGGGAAAGAUGAAAUAGAACUCUGUGAAGGGAGUCAAAAGACGUGAAAUUGUUGCGAGAGAAGCGAUUCAAGUCAGCGUAGCUGGGCCCAUCAAGCCUCGCGCUUUGGACCAGCUUUGCCAGCGGUCUUGUCCUAGAGACUCGACUAAGGUGCCCUGCCCGGUCUGACGGGCAGACCUUCCCCCCUGGGGGAGGCCAGCGGCACGGCUGGUGGAAUGGCUUGCAAUCGACCCGUCUUGAAACACGGACCAAGGAGUCUAACAUGCAUGCGAGUAUAAGGGUGGCAAACCCGUAUGCGCAAAGAAAGUGAUAGCCUUUACGGCUGUGAAUGACCUGAUGACCAGACAAGCGAUAUCAUGUCCCUCGUACGGUCAUUGCCCAAGUCCCGUGGUCAGAUCCCAUGGACAUGGAGUUGGAGCGUGCAUGCUAGGACCCGAAAGAUGGUGAACUAUGCCUGGACAAAGCGAAGCCAAAGGAAACUCUGGUGGAGGCUUGUAGCGAUUCUGACGUGCAAAUCGAUCGUCUGAUCUGGGUAUAGGGGCGAAAGACUAAUCGAAC